rfam:Hordeum vulgare subsp. vulgare, WGS project CAJW01000000 data, contig: morex_contig_2247967
GACUCUCGGCAACGGAUAUCUCAGCUCUCGUAUCGAUGAAGAAUGUAGCGAAAUGUGAUACCUAGUGUGAAUUGAAGAAUACCGCGAACAAUCAAAUCUUGGAACACAUGUUGCGCCCGAGGCCACUCGGCCGAUGGCACGCCUGCCUGGGUGUCA